GCGGGAUUAGUUGAGCGGCUCAACAUCAGCUUUCCAAGCUGAGGAGACGGGUUCGACUCCCGUAUCCCGCUCCA
rnacentral:tRNA from 1 species